CCUACGGGUGGCAGCAGUGAGGAAUAUUGGUCAAUGGGCGAGAGCCUGAACCAGCCAAGUCGCGUGAAGGAUGACGGCCCUACGGGUUGUAAACUUCUUUUGUCAGGGAGCAAUUGAGUCCACGUGUGGUCUUAGCGAGAGUACCUGAAGAAAAAGCAUCGGCUAACUCCGUGCCAGAAGCCGCGGUAAUACGGGGGAUGCGAGCGUUAUCAGGAUUUAUGGGGUUUAAAGGGUGCGUAGGCGGAAUAUCAAGUUAGCGGUAAAAAUUCGGGGCUCAACCCCGUCGUGCCGUUGAAACUGAUGUUCUUGAGUGGGCGAGAGGUAUGCGGAAUGCGUGGUGUAGCGGUGAAAUGCAUAGAUAUCACGCAGAACUCCGAUUGCGAAGGCAGCAUACCGGCGCCCAACUGACGCUGAGGCACGAAAGCGUGGGUAUCGAACAGGAUUAGAUACCCUUGUAGUC
rnacentral:rRNA from 1 species